GGGCACACCCCAGCGGGAAGGGAAGCCCCAAGGAGAUGAGGAAGAAACAAAAAAGAAUUAGUUCUUCCACCCAUGAAUGGAUGAUGGAAGACCGGUGAUGAAGGCAAGACCCUUCCGGGGGUUGAAGAGCCACCACCCUCGGGCUUUAGGGUGGGGUCGGAGCACAAAGAAUGCCCGGAAGAGUGAAACGCGAGGGUUGGUCGGCAAGAGCUGACACAACAGCGCGAAGGAGAUGAUGAGACGGACGGAGUUCGGUGCCAGUUGCGCUGGACAGAGUCUGUAAUAAUCUAAUAAAUUUCGGACGAACUCCGAAAUUGG
rnacentral:lncRNA from 1 species